AAAAUAGAAACUAUUUUGUUAUGUUAUUUAUACCAUGGUUGAGAUCAAAUUGGCUAUGAAGAAUGAAAUAAUCUUAUUCCCGGAAUAAGAUUAACUAAAUUGAAUGAAGUUUUAUUUAUUAAGCAAAGAGAAGAUAAUCUUCUUCGGGCUUUUAUAGUACAGACGGCAAGUAAUGGACGUUAUUGAAAUUGAUUGAUGAACAAAUCGAUUGCGAUAAUCGCAAUAAGUAUCUCAUAAUAAUCUUUGAUUGAUAUUGCAAUGGAUUAUAAGCUAGGGAUGAUAGAUGAUUUUCGCUGACAAGGGAACAAUUUAUAAGGAGCUGUAAAUAGAAAAAAGGGAAAGAAUUGUAGUGGAUCACACACACACGCACGCUAAUAAACAUCCUGCAACACUUUACUUAAUACAGUUGUAUUGAUGUAACGAUUUUUUAUAAAGAGGCGUUUCAUGGGGAGUGAUCGUAAAAGUUUUCCGAUUCUAGUCAUGUUCAAUAGCAUUCGCUCUUAGGUUCAAACGCAACAGUGCAUCCAACUUAAAAAUUUUAAAAACUACCAUCUGCA